rnacentral:RNase_P_RNA from 1 species
UGAGUAAAUCUGACAAUCGCGCAUUUAUGUGAGGAAAGUCCGGGCUCCAUAGAGCAGGGUGCUGGGUAAUACCCAGUGGAGGUGACUCCAAGGAAAGUGCAACAGAGAGAUACCGCCUGAAUUUUUCAGGUAAGGGUGGAAAGGUGCGGUAAGAGCGCACCAGCGUAUUGGUGACUUUACGGCUAUGUAAACCCCAUCUGGAGCAAGACCAAGUAGGGAUAUAAAAAAGGGGCUGCUCGUCUCUUCCCGUAGGUAGGUUGCUAGAGCCUGUCUGGUAACAGCAGGUCGAGAUAGAUGAUUGUCCACGACAGAACCCGGCUUACGAUUUGCUCAAUUA